UAUUGAAGGAACUAGAUACUGUUCCGAAAUAUCACUUACUCGAACCGUCCUGACCGCGUAGCUCAGUUGGAAGAGCAUUGGGCUAGUAUUCCAAAGGUCGUAGGUUCGAAUCCCACCGUGGCCGGGCAUAUUUUUCAAGCCUGCCCGGUGUGGAUAUGCACUCAGAGUAACAUCACAAACAUAUUAUUCACCUGAGUACACAACACCAGCACAGAAAAAAUUCAUAUUACAAGAACACAUUGGUAUUGAAGGAACUAGAUACUGUUCCGAAAUAUCACUUACUCGAACCGUCCUGACCGCGUAGCUCAGUUGGAAGAGCAUUAGGCUAGUAUUCCAAAGGUCGUAGGUUCGAAUCCCACCGUGGCCGGGCAUAUUUUUCAAGCGCGCCCGGUGUGGAUAUGCACUCAGAGUAACAUCACAAACAUAUUAUUCACCUGAGUACACAACACCAACACAGAAAAAAAUUCAUAUUACAAGAACACAUUGGUAUUGAAGGAACUAGAUACUGUUUCGAAAUAUCACUUACUCGAACCGUCCUGACCGCGUAGCUCAGUUGAAAGAGCAUUGAGCUAGUAUUCCAAAGGUCGUAGGUUCGAAUCCCACCGUGGCCGGGCAUAUUUUUCAAGCUCGCCCGGUGUGGAUAUGCACUCAGAGUAACAUCCCAAAACAUAUUAUUCACCUGAGUAAACAAAACACCAGCACAGAAAAAAAAUUCAUAUUACAAGAACACAUUGGUAUUGAAGGAACUAGAUACUGUUCCGAAAUAUCACUUACUCGAACCGUCCUGACCGUGUAGCUCAGUUGGAAGAGCAUUGGGCUAGUAUUCCAAAGGUCGUAGGUUCGAAUCCCACCGUGGCCGGGCAUAUUUUUCAAGUUCGCCCGGUGUGGACAUCCACUCAGAGUAACAUCACAAACAUAUUAUUCACCUGAGUACACAACACCAGCACAAAAAAUUCAUAUUACAAGAACUCAUUGGUAUUGAAGGAACUAGAUACUGUUCCGAAAUAUCACUUACUCGAACCGUCCUGACCGCGUAGCUCAGUUGGAAGAGCAUUGGGCUAGUAUUCCCAAGGUCGUAGGUUCGAAUCCCACCGUGGCCGG